rnacentral:rRNA from 1 species
CCCAAAGGUUCGGAAUAACUCAGGGAAACUUGAGCUAAUACCGGAUAAUGUCUUCGGACCAAAGAUUUAUUGCCUUUGGAUGAGCCCGCGUAGGAUUAGCUAGUUGGUGGGGUAAAAGCCUACCAAGGCGACGAUCCUUAGCUGGUCUGAGAGGAUGAUCAGCCACACUGGGACUGAGACACGGCCCAGACUCCUACGGGAGGCAGCAGUGGGGAAUAUUGGACAAUGGGCGAAAGCCUGAUCCAGCAAUGCCGCGUGAGUGAUGAAGGCCUUAGGGUUGUAAAGCUCUUUUACCCGGGAUGAUAAUGACAGUACCGGGAGAAUAAGCUCCGGCUAACUCCGUGCCAGCAGCCGCGGUAAUACGGAGGGAGCUAGCGUUGUUCGGAAUUACUGGGCGUAAAGCGCACGUAGGCGGCUUUGUAAGUUAGAGGUGAAAGCCCGGGGCUCAACUCCGGAACUGCCUUUAAGACUGCAUCGCUUGAAUCCAGGAGAGGUGAGUGGAAUUCCGAGUGUAGAGGUGAAAUUCGUAGAUAUUCGGAAGAACACCAGUGGCGAAGGCGGCUCACUGGACUGGUAUUUGACGCUGAGGCACGAAAGCGUGGGGAUCAAACAGGGAUUAGAUACCCUGGUAGUCCACGCCCUAAGCGAUGG